AGCCCACUCAGAAGUCAGGAUGUGUUUUUUUUUUCCCCUCCCAUUGCUAGCACAAGGAAUUGAGCAUCAAAAGGUUCAGAAGCGUCAGAUCUUGGACUAACACUGACCUCCAUACGGACUGAAAAAGAAAUUACAGGCAAUAAAAGCUCCAGUGUUUUCACCAAAGCGACUGCUCGGCUGCACUGCCACAUCUGAUGCAUCAUCCCACUGCAACAGAGGAGAUGCUGGAUGAGCCAUUGAGUAUCACAGGGACAGAUUGUACGUUAAAACCAUUCGGACUGGCUGCCGCUUCUGGUUUUCGUACACUGGUUGAUAGCCGAGAGAUGGUGUGAAAGCAACACUUCCUGUUUGGAAUUACAAGGCACCAGUCGCAGCAGAUUCAGGAACAGUUCUAUGUGAUCUGUGAUUGGCUGGCGACCAGUCCAAGGUGUCCCCCACCUCUUGUCUGAAAACAGCUGGGAUAGGCUCCAGCACCCCCGUGACUGAAUGAAUGAAGUUUAGCUUCAAAGCCCUGGUAGAUGGCUUUCUUCUCGAUAAGAGUCAAGUAAUUUAUAUCUACUAUUGUUGUGGGUUUACUACGUUGACUCUGAAAUGUCAAGUGAAGAAAGAGAGCGUACUGGAGUACUACAAAAAUUGUCCUUUUUGGUUUUAAUUAUUAGCCGUACAAAGUAAAUGCAAUGCAAUUCAUGAAGGAGAUGUCAAAAAAUAAUGUUAUAAUGUAUCUUAAUUGGGAUAUCUGUCAAACGAGUACAUACUUUGCAUGCAGAACUCAUGAUAACCAACAGAAAAUAUGAUGGAUUACAUCUAGUAAGUGGCAAUUCCAUAACAGUCAUGACAUUUUGCUGGCUUUUUGUGAGUUCUUCCUCCAGAGGUAUUCUCUUGAAUUGAAUUUACAUGCAGGCUUUGCAGUAAUUAUCUCAGAAAGAGAGAGAGAGAGAGAGUGAGAGAGAGAAAGAGAGAGAGAGAGCGCUUUAAUUGGAUAUUUGGCCCCUCUGGAUGUGGACUGAACCAUGCAGCAGCAUCAUUAGAAUCUCUCAUCAGGCUCUAAUUUGAGCCCUGAAUGGCCACUCCCCACUGUGCUCCACACACUUGAAAAUGCAGGAAGUCUCAGAUAAAAUAUUUUAUUGUACAGCUGCUGUUUUUAUUAGUAACGUACUUUUUUUUUGGGUCACAUUCCGGGUUUUGGUGUAUUCAAUCAUAAUCAUUUACUAUUGAGUCAAACCAUAUUGUAUCAUUAGCGUUCCUACAGACUUACACAUACUGUAUACUGUAAAUACAACAGCAGGACUGAAUACACCCACACCUAUGUUGUCCAUACAUAUAUAAACAAUUAAAUUACCCCCAGCGGUUGUCCUACUUAUUGCCAAACAAAGCGAGCUGUAAGGACGAUUCUCGCUGCUGGUUGCAGACGACGCGGAUCA